CCUACGGGGGGCAGCAGUGGGGAAUAUUGCACAAUGGGCGGAAGCCUGAUGCAGCAACGCCGCGUGCGGGAUGACGGCCUUCGGGUUGUAAACCGCUUUCGCCUGUGACGAAGCGUGAGUGACGGUAAUGGGUAAAGAAGCACCGGCUAACUACGUGCCAGCAGCCGCGGUGAUACGUAGGGUGCGAGCGUUGUCCGGAUUUAUUGGGCGUAAAGGGCUCGUAGGUGGUUGAUCGCGUCGGAAGUGUAAUCUUGGGGCUUAACCCUGAGCGUGCUUUCGAUACGGGUUGACUUGAGGAAGGUAGGGGAGAAUGGAAUUCCUGGUGGAGCGGUGGAAUGCGCAGAUAUCAGGAGGAACACCAGUGGCGAAGGCGGUUCUCUGGGCCUUUCCUGACGCUGAGGAGCGAAAGCGUGGGGAGCGAACAGGAUUAGAUACCCUUGUAGUC
rnacentral:rRNA from 1 species